rnacentral:rRNA from 1 species
AGAGUUUGAUCAUGGCUCAGGACGAACGCUGGCGGCGUGCCUAAUACAUGCAAGUAGAACGCUGAAGAGAGGAGCUUGCUCUUCUUGGAUGAGUUGCGAACGGGUGAGUAACGCGUAGGUAACCUGCCUUGUAGCGGGGGAUAACUAUUGGAAACGAUAGCUAAUACCGCAUAAUAAUGGGUGACUCAUGUCAUUUAUUUGAAAGGGGCAAAUGCUCCACUACAAGAUGGACCUGCGUUGUAUUAGCUAGUAGGUGAGGUAACGGCUCACCUAGGCGACGAUACAUAGCCGACCUGAGAGGGUGAUCGGCCACACUGGGACUGAGACACGGCCCAGACUCCUACGGGAGGCAGCAGUAGGGAAUCUUCGGCAAUGGGGGCAACCCUGACCGAGCAACGCCGCGUGAGUGAAGAAGGUUUUCGGAUCGUAAAGCUCUGUUGUAAGUCAAGAACGAGUGUGAGAGUGGAAAGUUCACACUGUGACGGUAGCUUACCAGAAAGGGACGGCUAACUACGUGCCAGCAGCCGCGGUAAUACGUAGGUCCCGAGCGUUGUCCGGAUUUAUUGGGCGUAAAGCGAGCGCAGGCGGUUUGAUAAGUCUGAAGUUAAAGGCUGUGGCUCAACCAUAGUUCGCUUUGGAAACUGUCAAACUUGAGUGCAGAAGGGGAGAGUGGAAUUCCAUGUGUAGCGGUGUAAUGCGUAGAUAUAUGGAGGAACACCGGUGGCGAAAGCGGCUCUCUGGUCUGUAACUGACGCUGAGGCUCGAAAGCGUGGGGAGCGAACAGGAUUAGAUACCCUGGUAGUCCACGCCGUAAACGAUGAGUGCUAGGUGUUGGAUCCUUUCCGGGAUUCAGUGCCGCAGCUAACGCAUUAAGCACUCCGCCUGGGGAGUACGACCGCAAGGUUGAAACUCAAAGGAAUUGACGGGGGCCCGCACAAGCGGUGGAGCAUGUGGUUUAAUUCGAAGCAACGCGAAGAACCUUACCAGGUCUUGACAUCCCGAUGCUAUUUCUAGAGAUAGAAAGUUACUUCGGUACAUCGGUGACAGGUGGUGCAUGGUUGUCGUCAGCUCGUGUCGUGAGAUGUUGGGUUAAGUCCCGCAACGAGCGCAACCCCUAUUGUUAGUUGCCAUCAUUCAGUUGGGCACUCUAGCGAGACUGCCGGUAAUAAACCGGAGGAAGGUGGGGAUGACGUCAAAUCAUCAUGCCCCUUAUGACCUGGGCUACACACGUGCUACAAUGGUUGGUACAACGAGUUGCGAGUCGGUGACGGCAAGCUAAUCUCUUAAAGCCAAUCUCAGUUCGGAUUGUAGGCUGCAACUCGCCUACAUGAAGUCGGAAUCGCUAGUAAUCGCGGAUCAGCACGCCGCGGUGAAUACGUUCCCGGGCCUUGUACACACCGCCCGUCACACCACGAGAGUUUGUAACACCCGAAGUCGGUGAGGUAACCCUUUGGAGCCAGCCGCCUAAGGUGGGAUAGAUGAUUGGGGUGAAGUCGUAACAAGGUA